GUACCCUCAAGCUCUGCUUGGUGUUGGGCGUUUUGUCUUUUCCUAAAAGACUCGCCUCAAAGUAAUUGGCAGCCAGUGUUUUGGUAGUAAGCGCAGCACAUUUUGCGUCUUAGUUCCUCAAACAGCGGCAUCCAUAAAGCCUCUUUCUCAC
rnacentral:misc_RNA from 2 species